rnacentral:misc_RNA from 1 species
GCUGAAUGCCUGGAAGUAAGAACAAGACAUUGUAGUAGUUGCAGACGGCAUGUACUUUGUGCUCUGUCCAAACCACAGUGAGACCUUCAUUGUCACUGGAUUCUUGUUCACUAUUUUUCACCUAAAGGCAACCCAAUGCUCCUAUACAUCUCCACUUUAUAAUUUGUAUGCUAAAGAAAGCAGAGGAUGACUUUGUGCCUCAUUUUCAAAACCUUCGCAAAACCCCAAAUAAAAAAAGCCUGCAAAACCAUUCCAAUCCAGUUCUAUCUUCAAUUCCACACUCACAAUCCUCUCUAUCAGUCCCGUGCCAUUGCCUUAAACCUUCAAGAGCCUAUUCUGGACCUUAAACGCCCACUAGCACUGCACAUGUUUGAUUUAAGUCCCCAAAAAGGCUUUCUACAGUGCAAUCACUUGCUUUUUGAGUUAUCUCGUAAUAAUUCGCACCAUGAAGUUGCUAAUCUAUUUUUGGGUAUUCAUCGUUCUGGGUUUUCCAUUGAUGGGUCAACCCUUUCUUGUGUUCUGAAAGCUUGUGCAUGCUUGUUUGAUGAAAACAUUGGGAUUCAAGUGCAUAAUUAUUCUGUAAAAUCUGGUUUUUUUUACGAUGUCAGUGUUGGUACUUCUCUCAUUGACAUGUAUUUCAAGAAUGAAAGUGUUGAAGAGGGGAGGAGAGUUUUUGAUGAAAUGGGAGUGAGGAAUGUGGUAUCAUGGACCUCUUUGCUUGCAGGUUAUGCACAGAAUGGAUUGAAUGUUGAGGUGUUGAAGUGCUUUUUUAGAAUGCAAGCAGAGGGGAUUAAGCCUAACUCAUUUACAUUUGCAACUGUUCUUGGAGCGUUGGCAGAUAAAGCUAUAGUUGUGAAGGGAGUUCAAGUUCACACAAUGGUAAUAAAGAAUGGGUUUGAGACAACUAUAUCUGUUUGCAAUUCGUUGAUUAGUAUGUACUCAAAAUGGGGAAUGGUUAGAGAUGCUAGAGCUGUUUUUGACGGUAUGGUGGAUAGGAAUGAUGUUAGUUGGAACAGUAUGGUUGCUGGUUAUGUAACAAAUGAGCUUCAUUUGGAAGCUUUUGAGAUGUUUUAUUAUCUGAGACUUUCUGGAGUAAAUCUCACCAAUGUGGUUUUUGCCUCCAUUAUUAAGUCAUGUGCUAAUAUCAAGGAAUUGGGUUUUGCUAGGCAGCUCCAAUGUCAGGUGUUAAAGGGUGGGUUUGAAUUUGAUCACAAAGUUAGGACAGCACUGAUGGUAGCUUACAGCAAGUGCAAAGAUAUGGAUGAUGCUUUUAAGAUAUUUUCAAUGAUGCAAGGAAUUCGAAAUGUGGUUUCAUGGACGGCCAUGAUUAGUGGGUACUUACAGAAUGGUACAGCGGAGCAAGCUGUGAACCUCUUUUGUCAAAUGAGCAGGGAAGGUGUUAGACCAAAUGAUUAUACUUUUUCUACUAUUCUUGCUGCUCAACCAUUUGUUUCUCCUUCUGAAGUACAUGCUCAAGCCAUCAAAAGUAACUAUGAGAAGUCACCUUCUGUUGGAACUGCACUUUUAGAUGCUUAUGUCAAGCUAGGAAAUAUUGUUGAAGCUUCAAAAGUCUUUAAAAGAAUAGAUGAGAAGGACAUUGUGGCAUGGUCAGCAAUGAUAGCUGGAUAUGCUCAAACAGGAGACACUGAGGGAGCUGUUAAGAUAUUCAUCCAAAUGGCAAAGGAUGGGGUUGAACCUAAUGAGUAUACCUUCUCCAGUGUAAUAAAUGCAUGUUGUUCCCCUACAGCAGCAGUAGAACAAGGAAAACAGUUGCAUGCCUGGUCAAUUAAGUUGAGGUUUAACGAUGCUUUAUGUGUUAGCAGUUCUCUUGUCACCAUGUAUGCAAAGAGAGGGGACAUUGAGAACGCAAAUGAAGUUUUCAAAAGACAAAGGGUGAGAGAUUUAGUUUCUUGGAAUUCAAUGGUCUGUGGAUAUGCACAGCAUGGCAAUGGGAGGAAAGCUCUUGAGGUAUUCAAGGAGAUGCAAAAGCAAAACUUGAAAAUGGAUGGUGUGACAUUCAUUGGUGUCUUUUCUGCUUGCACGCAUACUGGAUUAGUGGAUGAAGGUCAAAGAUACUUCGACAUAAUGGUGAAAGAUCACCACAUUGAGCCAACAAUGGAGCACUAUUCUUGCAUGGUUGAUUUAUAUAGCCGGGCUGGAAUGCUUGGAAAAGCCAUGGAUAUCAUAAAUAAAAUGCCAUUUGUUGCGGGGGCAACUGUGUGGCGAACUCUCUUGGCUGCUUCCCGUAUUCACCGCAAUGUAGAGCUGGGAAAGCUUGCAGCAGAAAAGCUCAUAUCUCUCCAGCCACAGGACUCAGCGGCAUAUGUUCUACUUUCCAACAUAUAUGCUGCAGCAGGAAAUUGGCCAGAAAGAACCAAAAUAAGGAAAUUGAUGGAUGAAAGAAAAGUGAAAAAAGAAGCUGGGUACAGCUGGAUUGAGGUGAAAAAGAAGACCUACUCAUUUUUGGCUGGUGACGUUUCUCAUCCCAUGUCAGAUGAAAUUUAUUCAAAACUAGCAGAACUAAGUACCCGAUUGAAGGGUGCUGGUUACCGGCCUGAUACCAAUUAUGUGCUUCAGGAUGUUGAUGAGGAACAUAAAGAAACUAUUCUUUCUCAACAUAGUGAGAGGCUGGCUAUUGUUUUUGGAUUAAUUGCCACACCUGCAGGAACUCCUCUCCAGAUUGUGAAGAACCUAAGAGUCUGUGGAGACUGCCACACAGUUAUUAAGUUAAUAUCGAUGAUUGAGGAGAGAUAUAUUAUAGUCAGGGAUUCGAAUCGCUUCCAUCACUUUAAAAGAGGUUUGUGCUCAUGUGGUGACUAUUGGUGAGGGCUCCUUGGCUUAUUUAAUUUGGAAACCUACAAUGGAGCCCUGAGGACUAGACCAGCCUCAGUGUGAGGACCCACAUCAUGCUCAUAUGCUGCAAUCACUGGAAAUAGAACCACAGAGUGAUGCAGUGAUUUAAAUCUUCCGCUUGAUAGGUUUAUGGUAAAGUCUAUGCAACACAAUUGAUUGUGUUGGAUGGGAUUCUUGUAAUGAGAAUGAAUGUGUUGGAUUUUCACAUCAGAAAGAGCAACUUAAAUCAAGUUUAAAAGAAACAGUGGGGACGAUAACAUCAGCAGACAGAUAAACGUUUUGGACAAUUGGAAUCUUU